rnacentral:rRNA from 1 species
CCAGACAGCCAGGAUGUUGGCUUAGAAGCAGCCAUCAUUUAAAGAAAGCGUAAUAGCUCACUGGUCGAGUCGGCCUGCGCGGAAGAUGUAACGGGGCUAAACCAUGCACCGAAGCUGCGGCAGCGACACUAUGUGUUGUUGGGUAGGGGAGCGUUCUGUAAGCCUGUGAAGGUGGCCUGUGAGGGUUGCUGGAGGUAUCAGAAGUGCGAAUGCUGACAUAAGUAACGAUAAAGCGGGUGAAAAGCCCGCUCGCCGGAAGACCAAGGGUUCCUGUCCAACGUUAAUCGGGGCAGGGUGAGUCGACCCCUAAGGCGAGGCCGAAAGGCGUAGUCGAUGGGAAACAGGUUAAUAUUCCUGUACUUGGUGUUACUGCGAAGGGGGGACGGAGAAGGCUAUGUUGGCCGGGCGACGGUUGUCCCGGUUUAAGCGUGUAGGCUGGUUUUCCAGGCAAAUCCGGAAAACCAAGGCUGAGGCGUGAUGACGAGGCACUACGGUGCUGAAGCGACAAAUGCCCUGCUUCCAGGAAAAGCCUCUAAGCAUCAGGUAACAUCAAAUCGUACCCCAAACCGACACAGGUGGUCAGGUAGAGAAUACCAAGGCGCUUGAGAGAACUCGGGUGAAGGAACUAGGC